rnacentral:rRNA from 1 species
ACGUCUAGCGAGACUGCCGGUGUAAACCGUGAGGAAGUGGGAUGACGUCAAAUCAGCACGGCCCUUAUAUCCAGGGCUACACACGUGUUACAAUGGUCGGUACAAAGAGCAGCCACUUGGUGACAAGGCGCUAAUCUCAAAAGCCGAUCUCAGUUCGGAUCGAAGUCUGCAACUCGACUUCGUGAAGUUGGAUUCGCUAGUAAUCGCGCAUCAGCCAUGGCGCGGUGAAUACGUUCCCGGGCCUU